GUGUUGAGCAAGGCAAGAUGUUGGCAUAGCUGAACUGCAGUUUCUCAGCUAUGCUACAUGAGGCCACGCACGGCAUCAGCACCUCUUUCUUUCCCUACUGAUC
rnacentral:pre_miRNA from 1 species